AUCGACCUCAGAUUAGACGAGAUUACCCGCCGAAUUUAAGCAUAUAAUUAGGCGGAGGAAAAGAAAUUAACGAAGAUUCCCUUAGUAACGGCGAGUGAAAA
rnacentral:rRNA from 1 species